rnacentral:rRNA from 1 species
AUUGAACGCUGGCGGCAUGCCUUACACAUGCAAGUCGAACGGCAGCACGGGAGCAAUCCUGGUGGCGAGUGGCGAGCGGGUGAGUAAUAUAUCGGAACGUGCCCAGUCGUGGGGGAUAACGUAGCGAAAGCUACGCUAAUACCGCAUACGAUCUAUGGAUGAAAGCGGGGGAUCGCAAGACCUCGCGCGAUUGGAGCGGCCGAUAUCAGAUUAGGUAGUUGGUGAGGUAAAGGCUCACCAAGCCGACGAUCUGUAGCUGGUCUGAGAGGACGACCAGCCACACUGGGACUGAGACACGGCCCAGACUCCUACGGGAGGCAGCAGUGGGGAAUUUUGGACAAUGGGCGCGAAGCCUGAUCCAGCAAUGCCGGCGUGCAGGAUGAAGGCC